AGAAGGCUUUGUCAAGUGAAGUUACGACUAUAAAAGCUUUUAUAGCGACCCAGCAGGCGAACAUCUGAGGGCAACGUCUCUGCCUUGCUUCUCCGUCUUCAAUUGUGAAGGGCCAUUAAUAUAUGUACAGCAAGUUUUUUGUGCAGGAGGGUCAUAAAUCCUUGACUCAUUUUUAUCGUACUUGUACAAUCGUAGCUUAGAUCUUCGAUGAAAAUAACUAUAGAUGUUGAUGAGCUUACAGCUUACAAGUUCCAACCCAUCAUCACCCCUACAAUUAAACUGUUUUAGCUCUGUUUUGCUGGAAAUAUAAACGCUUUUGUUAAGUGUCCCUGUCUAGUGGGUUCAGUAGCCUUCAAGAUUUUCGUUGAGCAGAAUUUUUUUGUCGCUGAACUCUAAAGUUAUCCAGAUGCCAUUUAACAAACUGUAAUUUUACGAGAUCUCCAUAGCUUCUCACUAGAAUUAAAUACCUUCCAGAGUAGUAUUAUCUCAUACCUUCUGGUAUAGCUGAUGACACUAAUGAUGUACUAACCCAUGCACUGGGAUGAAGAUAAUGACGUACUAAAUGAUUCAUAGCUCAAUCAUGUUCUGUUUUUGAAGCGUGAUAAAUUGUGGCUAACAGGUUUCUGCCAACAUAUACAUCUGCCGGAGCCAAAAUUGCAUUUCUGAGCUAAAAAAUUUAGAAAGCUGAGAUGGAUUCUGAUUCAAAGACCGUGGUGCAUAUUGGAGGGUGCCAUUGCAAGAGUGUGAGGUGGAAAGUAGUAGCUUCCUCUAGUGUUGUGGCUUGGGAAUGUAAUUGUUCAGACUGCUACAUGAGAGGGAAUACACACUUCAUUGUGCCGGCCGAAAGAUUUGAACUUUUGGGAGAUUCAGAGAAGUUUAUCACAACUUACACCUUUGGCACUCACACUGCUAAGCAUACAUUCUGCAAGGUCUGUGGUAUAACCUCAUUCUAUUACCCACGCUCAAACCCAGAUGGAGUUGCUAUUACAUUCAAGUGUGUUGAUCCUGGCACACUGAAGAGUGUUGAAAUCAAGCAUGCUGAUGGAAGGAAUUGGGAAAGUGCAUAUCUUCAAACAGGCAUCGCUUCUUAUUCGAAGGUGCAGAAGUAAUUUCUUGUUACUCUCAAUCAGUUAUGGAUUGUACUCUAUUCCCAGUUUCUGCCAAGAUUUCGUGUGUAUGGUUGUAUCAAAAUAAGAUCAUCUUUUUAUGGUCAAAGGUGCAGGAAUACAUCUAUUCAUGUCAAAAUUGUAUGGUCCGAAAAUCUUCCCUUUUCUCUUCGCACA